AUUUGUAUAGUAUAAAAGUAUAUUUAACUUCCAAUUAAAAGGUCUAAUUUUUUUAGUACAAGUA
rnacentral:tRNA from 1 species